UCCAGAGGGUGCGAACGUUGCUCGGAAUCACUGGGCGUAAAGCGCGUGUAGGCGGAUCAGAAAGUCAGGUGUGAAAUCCCUGGGCUCAACCUAGGAACUGCAUCUGAAACUUCUGGUCUGGAGUGUCGGAGAGGGUGACGGAAUUCCCGGUGUAGAGGUGAAAUUCGUAGAUAUCGGGAGGAACAUCAGUGGCGAAGGCGGUCACCUGGACGGUAACUGACGCUGAGGCUCGAAAGCGUGGGGAGAAAACAGG
rnacentral:rRNA from 1 species